UACGUAGGGUGCAAGCGUUGUCCGGAAUUAUUGGGCGUAAAGAGCUCGUAGGCGGCCUGUCGCGUCGGCUGUGAAAACCCGGGGCUCAACCCCGGGCCUGCAGUCGAUACGGGCAGGCUAGAGUCCGGCAGGGGAGACUGGAAUUCCUGGUGUAGCGGUGAAAUGCGCAGAUAUCAGGAGGAACACCGGUGGCGAAGGCGGGUCUCUGGGCAACAACUGACGCUGAGGAGCGAAAGCGUGGGGAGCGAGCAGG
rnacentral:rRNA from 1 species